rnacentral:misc_RNA from 1 species
UCAAACUUGGUCAUUUAGAGGAAGUAAAAGUCGUAACAAGGUUUCCGUAGGUGAACCUGCGGAAGGAUCAUUAUUGAAUAAACAUGGUUAGUUGUCGCUGGCUCCUCGGAGCAUGUGCACGCUUGCCGUCUUUAUCUAUCCACCUGUGCACCCUCUGUAGUCUUUGGGGAUGAAUGCAGUUGCACCCUCGACAGGUCUUUACUGACUUUCGGAUGUGAGGAAUUGCCUUGUGAAAGCAUGGCUCUCCUCAAAAGCAUUGUGAAUCACCUCAUGGACUAUGUUUUUCAUACACUUCGUAGCAUGAUGCAGAAUGUAUUCGAUGGGCCUUUGUGCCUAUAAUUAUCAAUACAACUUUCAGCAACGGAUCUCUUGGCUCUCGCAUCGAUGAAGAACGCAGC